rnacentral:rRNA from 1 species
GCAGUAGCCGCGGUAAUACAGAGGGUGCGAGCGUUAAUCGGAUUUACUGGGCGUAAAGCGUGCGUAGGCGGCUUUUUAAGUCGGAUGUGAAAUCCCUGAGCUUAACUUAGGAAUUGCAUUCGAUACUGGGAAGCUAGAGUAUGGGAGAGGAUGGUAGAAUUCCAGGUGUAGCGGUGAAAUGCGUAGAGAUCUGGAGGAAUACCGAUGGCGAAGGCAGCCAUCUGGCCUAAUACUGACGCUGAGGUACGAAAGCAUGGGGAGCAAACAGGAUUAGAUACCCGAGUAGUCCCUGUCUCUUAUAC